CGGAGGGCACCUGAAGAGGAAUGGAGGAAGACAGCACUACUGUGGUAGAGGAGCGGUGUGUGUGCAGACAUGGCUGCUGUUGGUGAAGCGGACUGAACUUAGAGGAGAGACACAAACUAAAGUAUCAAUCCCAUCACGUCAGUGUGGACCUGAUACCAACGUCUGUAUCGCUUCUAUCGAUGCUUGUAUCAAUCCACCCAGCCUGAGUUGAAGCAGCAAUGAGUUCAGUUCAGUAUCUGAGAGAGUUCAUCAAGGAGAGACUAACUGCUGUUGGUGAAGAAAUCUUCUCAGAGGUUCAAAAAACCAUCGUAUGAGGAGGAGAUCUACCGUCAGCACAGACUGCUGGAUAUCAGCCGGAAACCCGACAGAAACUCACACAUCAUAGACCUCCCACAACAACAUGACUGUAAGGAAGAGGAGGGUCUGGAUGAGCAGCAGGUCUGUAACCAGGAGAGGAACUCCAGUCUGGACCAGGAGGACCCAGAGCCUCCACAGAUUAAAGAGGAACAGGAGGAGCUCUGCAGCAGUCAGGAGGGAGGGAGAGCAGCUUGGACUGAAGGAGGAGACUGAAGGCAUUAUCGUCUGGACUGAUGAAGAGCAGCUCAGAUUGAUGGAGACCAUCUGGAAACCUGUGAUAAAGUUACACAGAAUAUGUCCAACAGCAGCAUGCUUUUGAGGAAGAGGAGGUUUUUACCAACCAGGAGGUCUGUAACCAGGAGAGAAACUCCAGUCUGGACCAGGAGGACCCGGAGCCUCCACAGAUUAAAGAGGAACAGGAGGAACUCCGCAGCAAUCAGGAGGGAGUAGAGCUGGGCGAUAUAAGAUUUUUUCAUAUCACGCUCUAGGAGGGAGAGCAGCUUGGACUGAAGCAGGAGACUGAUACUUUCAUGGAGACUCCUGCUUACGGGGAAAGUGCCCGCAGUGAACCAGAACCAAACAGCGAGCAGCUGCUUUCUGACAGCUCUCCUGAAGCAGAGAGCCGAGAUCAUGAAGAAAAUCAGCAUGUGGACUCAGGAUCUAUUACAAAUGCAGAGCUGAAGAAAAGAUGUCACAGAAAGAGAAGUCACAGUCAAAGAGUAGACAACACUCCUGUGUCAGUGAGUCAAAGUAGAACGGACACAAAGAAUAAGUCUGUACAAUGUGACGUGUGUGGAAAAACUUUAAAGAAUAAAUACAAAAUGACUAGACAUCUAGGAAUUCACACAGGUGAGAAGCCGUAUUCCUGUAGCACCUGUGGAAAAAGAUUUGUUACCUCAUCAUCGUUCAAAACACACACGAGAACUCACACAGGUGAGAAACUAUUCUUGUAGCACCUGUGAGAAAAGACUUGUCCAGACGAUACAAUUAAAGAAUCACAUGAGAAUUCAUACUAGUUAAAAUGUUCAUACUUAUAAAAUGUGGGAAAACUGUGAGUCAUGGCUGAACAUCUGAGUGAAAAGAUGAUACAUAUUAAAGUCAGUAUUUUAGACCCAGAACAGUAAAGAAAUCUCAGCAUUGUUUGUUCUGUUUAUUACGUUAUUCUGUUAAUUGUAACAGGGAAACUCUUAUCUUACAUUUCACCAAGGUUAAAGUUCAGUGUGCUCCUGUUCUGCUGGUUCAUUGUUUAAUUUCAUGGAUUUAAGUGGUGUUCAUGUGUCUUUAAGGUUUAUUAAGAUUUUCAGAUUUUUUUUCCUUACAAAGAUGUAAUCUCAAAUGUGUAAA